UUGCAAAGACCAAAGGACGCAGGUUAGGAGCGUCCUCAUCGAAGCCUUGUGUCACGGUUGCAAGAUUGCAGGACGUGUGGUUGCUUUGGCAUUGCUACUAAGACACCGAGCUUGCACUUUUGAAGGGUUAGAUCCGGGUUUUGCUAUCGAGAAGCCGUUUUACGCAUGCGCAGGAGUGGAAGUGAAUGGGCUGCUUAAGGAGUAUAUAAGGCGCACUCUGCACACGGGACUAACUUCAGAAAUCUCUCCGAACUGAACUGAACUGAACUGAAAGCGAGUAACUCUUCGCAGCAGAGGAUAUUAUCACUGCCUACUGGUUUGACUCCUAUACUCGGGCCUCAACAACACUGUUCAAGAUGCGCUUCCUUCUUGCGUUUUUUACACUGUUCUGCUUCUUGGGUAUAAUCCUUGCCAGCCCUCUUCCUCAGACCAGGCAAAACUCAAGAAACACAGAGCCACAAAAUAACGUUUUGAGACAGCAGAGCUCCGGAAACGAUCUUCAGAGGCAAUUGAAUCGCCGGAAACCCUAUGUAUUUGACGAUUUUCUCGGGGGUCGAUAACUGACAACGAUAGAUUAUAUCGCUGUAAGGCUGUAAUUGUCUAGUGUUGUGUUCUUGUGUCCACAAUUCUGGACGUGCAAGUAUGGUACCUUAAUAAUUUAAUUCUAUAUACUAGAUAACAAAGUGUAUAUUUAUCAUUACUCCUUAAUGAUGUGAUUCUAUCUUAUAUAUUAGAUAACAAAAUGUAUAUUUAUCAUUACUCCUUAAUGAUGUAAUUCUAUCUUAUAUAUUAGAUAACAAAAUGUAUAUUUAUCAUUACUCCUUAAUGAUGUAAUUCUAUCAUAUAUUUUAUAUACCAAAACGUAUCUUUAUCAUUGCUGUUGUAUGUUCGCCGUUGCCUAACCUUGGAUAUAUGGGUAAUUUAGAAACACACGGAGCUAUAUUUUGAUUUAUAUACAUACCUAUGUGCAUUAUUACAGAAUCUCCAUUUUGUGAAUGAUAUAGGAGGCUAUGUAUAAAUAAACCAAACAUAGACCAAAGAAAAUAAAGAUUUUGAGAUGCUUUUCUUUAAAAAUGUGGAAAUAAGCUCUUUUACUUUAAGCUACAGAAAAUAAACCCUGAAUUAUGUUCAAACGAAUCAUGAUAAUAAUACUUACACAGCUAUCAAAUUAGUUAUCUCGAAAUUAAAUCGAAAAUACGAACGCGUUUACUUUUCUUAGGAGGUAAACAACUUUCCAACUCAAGAAUCGAACGCGUUUGAAAA
rnacentral:lncRNA from 1 species